rnacentral:rRNA from 1 species
CUGGCUCAGGAUGAACGCUAGCGACAGGCCUAACACAUGCAAGUCGAGGGGCAGCACAAGGAGCAAUCUGAGGUGGCGACCGGCGCACGGGUGAGUAACACGUAUGCAACCUGCCUGUAAGCGGGGAAUAACCCGUUGAAAGACGGACUAAUACCGCAUAAUACUAAAUUACUGCAUGGUAAUUUAUUUAAACAUUUAUGGCUUACAGAUGGGCAUGCGCAUGAUUAGCUAGUUGGAGAGGUAACGGCUCCCCAAGGCAACGAUCAUUAGGGGUUCUGAGAGGAAGGUCCCCCCACACUGGUACUGAGACACGGACCAGACUCCUACGGGAGGCAGCAGUGAGGAAUAUUGGUCAAUGGACGAGAGUCUGAACCAGCCAAGUCGCGUGCAGGAAGAAUUGUCCUAUGGAUUGUAAACUGCUUUUGCAGGGGAAUAAAGUGCAUCACGUGUGAUGUUUUGUAUGUACUCUGCGAAUAAGGAUCGGCUAACUCCGUGCCAGCCGCCGC